rnacentral:rRNA from 1 species
CUCAACUCGGAAACGGCAUUGAAUACUACCUUGCUUGAGGGUCGGAAGGGGGACUGGAAUUCUCGGUGUAGCAGUGAAAUGCGUAGAUAUCGAGAGGAACACCAGUGGCGAAGGCGAGUCCCUGGACGACUCCUGACACCGAGGCACGAAAGCUAGGGGAGCAAACAGGAUUAGAUACCCUGGUAGUCCUAGCCGUAAACGGUGCACAUUUGCUGUGAGCGGAUUCGACCCCGUUCGUGGCGUAGCUAACGCGUUAAAUGUGCCGCCUGGGGAGUACGGUCGCAAGAUUAAAACUCAAAGAAAUUGACGGGGGCCUGCACAAGCGGUGGAGUAUGUGGCUUAAUUCGAUGCAACGCGAAGAACCUUACCUGGCCUUGACAUGCAAGUGGUAGAAACCUGAAAGGGCGACGACCCCGCAAGGGGAGCU